GGAUAGCGGAGAAAUUCCAAUCGAACCCGGAUAUAGCUGGUUCUCCCCGAAAUAGUUUUAGGACUAGCCUCGUGAUUAAGAUUAUCGGAGGUAAAGCACUGAAUGGCCUAGGGGUCGAGAGAUUACCGAAGCCUAUCAAACUCUGAAUGCCGAAUAAUCAUGCACGGGAGUCAGACUGUGUGAGAUAAGUUUCAUAGUCGAAAGGGAAACAGCCCAGACCUACAGCUAAGGUCCCAAAGUACGUUUAAGUGGAAAACGAUGUGAAAUUGCGUAGACAACCAGGAUGUUGGCUUAGAAGCAGCCAUACAUUAAAAGAGUGCGUAAUAGCUCACUGGUCGAGUGACUUUGCGCGGAAAAUUUAACGGGGCUAAAACGUACACCGAAGCUUAGGCUUGCAACUAUGUUGCAGGGGUAGGGGAGCGUUGAAUGAGGGGUGAAGUCGUAGCGAAAGCGACGGUGGACUUCAUUCAAGUGAGAAUGCCGGAAUGAGUAGCGAGAAUUAUGUGAGAAUCAUAAUGGCCGAAAGCCUAAGGUUUUUGGAGGAAGGUUCGUCCGCUCCAAGUAAGUCGGAAGCUAAGGUGAGGCUGAAAAGCGUAGCCGAUGCACAAACGGUUGAAAUUCCGUUACCACAGAAAGAUUUAAACUAAGGGACACUUUUGAAGAGCUGAUGCCGGGUGUUGGUUACCCCGGUCGUAAGGGAACGAAAUCAAGUAGUGAAGUCAGCGUGGAUGAAGGCGAGAAAAGCUUAGUGUAUAUCUUAUGUGUCCGUACCGCAAACCGACACAGGUAGGUAGGAAGAGAAUUCUAAGGCCAACGGGAGAAGGGUAGUUAAGGAACUCGGCAAAAUGUCCCCGUAACUUCGGAAUAAGGGGAGGUUUCUACGGAAACCCGCAGAGAAUAGUCCCAGGCAACUGUUUAUCAAAAACACAGCUCUAUGCUAAAUCGAAAGAUGACGUAUAUGGGGUGACGCCUGCCCGGUGCCGGAAGGUUAAGAGGAGGAGUGAGAGCCCUGAAUCGAAGCCCCGGUAAACGGCGGCCGUAACUAUAACGGUCCUAAGGUAGCGAAAUUCCUUGUCAGGUAAGUUCUGACCCGCACGAAUGGCGUAAUGAUCUGGGCACUGUCUCAACAGCCCGCCCGGCGAAAUUGUAGUACCGGUGAAGAUGCCGGUUACCCGCGACUAGACGGAAAGACCCCAUGGAGCUUUACUGUAGCUUAAUAUUGGAUUUCGGCAUUUCAUGUACAGGAUAGGUGGGAGACUAGGAAACAUAGGCGUCAGCUUAUGCGGAGUCGUCCUUGGGAUACCACUCUUGGAGUGCUGAAAUUCUAACCUGCAGCCCUGAAUCGGGUUGGGGGACAUUGUUAGGUGGGCAGUUUGACUGGGGCGGUCGCCUCCAAAAAGGUAACGGAGGCGCUCAAAGGUUGGCUCAGCAUGGAUGGAAACCAUGCCAUAGAGUGCAAACGCAAAAGCCAGCCUGACUGCGAGACUGACGGGUCGAGCAGAAACGAAAGUUGGAGUUAGUGAUCCGGCGGUAUGUGAAUGGAAAUGCCGUCGCUCAACGGAUAAAAGCUACCCUGGGGAUAACAGGCUGAUCUCCCCCAAGCGUCCACAGCGACGGGGAGGUUUGGCACCUCGAUGUCGGCUCGUCACAUCCUGGGGCUGAAUUCGGUCCCAAGGGUUCGGCUGUUCGCCGAUUAAAGUGGCACGCGAGCUGGGUUCAGAACGUCGUGAGACAGUUCGGUCCCUAUCUGUCGUGGGCGUAGGAUAUUUGAAAGGAGCUGUCCCUAGUACGAGAGGACCGGGAUGGACGCACCUCUGGUGCACCAGUUGUCACGCCAGUGGCACAGCUGGGCAGCUAAGUGCGGAUCGGAUAAACGCUGAAAGCAUCUAAGCGUGAAGCCGUCCUUAAGAUAAGAUAUCCCACUUUUAAGUUAAGACCCCUUGUAGACUACGAGGUUGAUAGGUCUAAGGUGUAAGUUGUGUGAGCAAUUUAGCCAGCAGAUACUAAUCGGUCGAGGGCUUAAACCU
rnacentral:rRNA from 1 species